rnacentral:lncRNA from 1 species
CCUCUCUGUGCAGGACGACUGCGUACGAAUGCUGUGGAGAUGCUCCAGUAACGCUGGGAGGAGAACCAAGACAGUUGCCAAGCUCGGGUCUCGGUGCACCAUCUCUUCUGAUCCCUCCCGCUUAAAAAGCUCACAGUUCAUCACGAGCAGAUCCGCCGAGCUCUCCGAUUGAUCCUGCUGAGCCACCCAGUUAGUGARAUGGUGAUGCUCUGAAUUCCCAAAGCCUUGAAAUUCCCAGGUUUCAGAAUUGUAUGCUUAUAUAAAACAGUCAUUUUUUUAAAAACAUGACAAGAAGCUAGAUGAUCAGUUGUGUGCAGAUGUAUAUUCUGGUUAACAGUGCCUUCCCGCGUGGCUGCCGCUGC